AGGGUGCGGCUGGAUCACCUCCUUUCU
rnacentral:ncRNA from 2 species